rnacentral:rRNA from 1 species
CAGCAGCCGCGGUAAUACGAAGGGGGCUAGCGUUGUUCGGAAUUACUGGGCGUAAAGCGCACGUAGGCGGAUAUUUAAGUCAGGGGUGAAAUCCCGCAGCUCAACUGCGGAACUGCCUUUGAUACUGGGUAUCUUGAGUAUGGAAGAGGUUAGUGGAAUUGCGAGUGUAGAGGUGAAAUUCGUAGAUAUUCGCAGGAACACCAGUGGCGAAGGCGGCUAACUGGUCCAUAACUGACGCUGAGGCACGAAAGCUAGGGGAGCAAACAGGAUUAGAUACCCCGGUAGUCCCUGUCUCUUAUAC